rnacentral:piRNA from 1 species
UGGGAAGCUAGGUUCCUCUACUUGGUUCU